GAUGAACGCUGGCGGCGUGCCUAAUACAUGCAAGUCGAGCGAACAGACCCUGCUCUUGCUUCUCUCACGUUAGCCGCACUGGUGUGAGUAACACGUGUAUAACCUACCUGUAAUACUGGUAACACUUCGGGACACCGGCUCUUAUCGCGUAUAAUCUAUUGCUCCGCAUUGGUCGAUAGUGAGAUUCGGCGGUUGGGUAUGGACUCGCGGGUUACCAGCUGGAUGGUGUGGUAGUGGCUUACCAAGGCUUCGACGGGUAGCCGGCCUGAGAGGGUGACCGGCCACAUUGGGACUGAGAUACGGCCCAGACGCCUACGGGAGGCAGCAGUGGGGAAUAUUGCACAAUGGGCGGAAGCCUGAUGCAGCAACGCCGCGUGCGGGAUGACGGCCUUCGGGGUGUAAACAGCUUUCGCCUGUGACGAAGCGUGAGUGACGGUAAUGGGUAAAGAAGCACCGGCUAACUACGUG
rnacentral:rRNA from 1 species